rnacentral:pre_miRNA from 1 species
UCAAAGGGGAAACCUCUAAUCACUUCAAGGCAUUUUAUGAAGAAAAAACCCUGGAUCCAGGGUUUUUUCUUUCAUAAAAUGCUUUCAAGGGAUUAGAGGUUCCACCUUUCAUA